GUCUCUCUUAGCCUCAACCUAGAACACAUCGUCCUCACCAUCGAUGGACUCUUUCGGCUAGCUCUGGUGACAGACGGUAACUGUUGGCAAUUGACGACCAGUUUCGGCUAACUUACGAGCAAUAUCUGAGGUAUGCUAUCAAUUUUUUCCGUGUUUGACGUUUGUAUAACUAUUCCAUUUUUUCUUUCUUUUUUCCCACAUGUUUUCUUUAAUUUGGUGUUUGAAUUUUUUCUCCUUAAGAAUAGGAGCGCUUUUGGCCUCAGCUGCAUCGUUAUUUCGACUCCAAUGGCAUUGUUGUUGUUGUUAUUUGAAGGUCUUUGAUUCUGCUUUGUUUGUAUUACAUUUACAUUUGUGAUUCUAGUUUGAAAAAUUGGGGGAUUU
rnacentral:lncRNA from 1 species